rnacentral:rRNA from 1 species
UCUGGUGAUAAUGCCGAACGGGUUCCACCUCUUCCCAUUCCGAACAGAGAAGUUAAACCGUUCAGGGCCGAUGAUAGUGGCUUUGCCGCGAAAGUAGGUUGUCGCCAGUU